rnacentral:rRNA from 1 species
UACGGAGGAUGCAAGCGUUAUCCGGAAUGAUUGGGCGUAAAGGGUCCGUAGGUGGUGAUGUAUGUCUAUUGUCAAAGGUUCUGGCUUAACCAGAGACAGGCAGUAGAAACUGCAAAACUAGAGUGCAGUCGGGGCAGGGGGAAUUCCUGGUGUAGCGGUGAAAUGCGUAGAGUUCAGGAAGAACACCGGUGGCGAAAGCGCCCUGCUAGGCUGUGACUGACACUGAGGGACGAAAGCGUGGGGAGCGAAAGGG